UACAGGUAUUGCAUGGUUGUCGUAGGUCAGUGCUAGUAAGGCGAGAAGUUAGUUCUGUUAAACUCGACGUAAUCCUUGCUGUAAAUUUAAACUUUACAGUCCUAUUUCGAUAAGAAAUUAAAAAAAACUUAUUUUUAGAAGGAGUAUGACAAACCCUCAUGGUCCUUAUGGGGUGGGCUAUAGACGUGCUACAAUAGAUUUAUCAAAGUGAUGCAAUUUUGUAAGAAGGAGCUAAACACUAACCGAUACUAAAUAUGAAUUGUGGACUGGAAU
rnacentral:rRNA from 1 species